rnacentral:rRNA from 1 species
GACGAACGCUGGCGGCGUGCUUAACACAUGCAAGUCGUACGGUAAGGCCCUUUCGGGGGUACACGAGUGGCGAACGGGUGAGUAACACGUGAGUAACCUGCCCACAACUUUGGGAUAACGCUAGGAAACUGGUGCUAAUACUGGAUAUGUGCUCCUGCUGCAUGGUGGGGGUUGGAAAGCUCCGGCGGUUGUGGAUGGACUCGCGGCCUAUCAGCUUGUUGGUGGGGUAGUGGCCUACCAAGGCGGCGACGGGUAGCCGGCCUGAGAGGGUGACCGGCCACAUUGGGACUGAGGUACGGCCCAGACUCCUACGGGAGGCAGCAGUGGGGAAUAUUGCACAAUGGGCGCAGGCCUGAUGCAGCAACGCCGCGUGCGGGAUGACGGCCUUCGGGUUGUAAACCGCUUUCAGCAGGGACGAAGCUUUUUGUGACGGUACCUGCAGAAGAAGCACCGGCUAACUACGUG